rnacentral:lncRNA from 1 species
AUCACUGAAGCCUUUAAUCUAUACAUGAGAUUAGAACAACCUUCAGAAAUUUUUCAUGAAUCAUAAGUGUCACUGUUUGGAAGAGAAUCUGGCAGAGUAGAAAUGGGAAGAAAAUGAAUAAAAGUGGAAAACAGAACAAAUGAGUGGGAAAAAAAUUUUUUGAAGGAGGUGCUUAUAAGAUUAUGAAAUAUACCUGACACUCAGUAAUAUGGGUGCUAACCACAGACUGACAGACAAGAAUCAAAGAUGAGAACAGAAAGGUCACAUCACAUAUGAAAAAAAGCUAAAUUUAGAAUUGGAAUUUCUAAAUUCAAACCCCAAUUCUCAAACUUACAGUCUGAUCUUGUGCAAGUCAAUCAGGUGUCUUGGUUGUACAGCUGAAGCCGAAACCAUCAAAAAAAGUUAUCUCAAUUUAAAUCAGCAAACAUAUAUGAAAGACUUCAGGGAGCCAUCAAUCACAUUGCAGUUGGAUGUUAGUUGAAUCUAAAGCAGAAAUCGGCACUAAUUGAAAACUAGCAUUAUGGCAAAGUAAUGAUAACAUAAGAACCCAACAGCUGGAAGGCAGACUAAAAGAAAAUUUUCUUUCCUAUUUCUAAAACAAUGGACUUAAAAAAAUAAACAAACAAAGAAAAAGAUGGACUAACCAUAAGAAAAUUCACCUUAAUGCAUGGUCACGAUUGCAGAUAUUCUAUAGAAAUACCACUUUUACUCAUUAUUAUUACUAUUU